GGGGCAACCUGGGCGACGAGUGGCGAACGGGUGAGUAAUACAUCGGAACGUGCCCAGUAGUGGGGGAUAGCCCGGCGAAAGCCGGAUUAAUACCGCAUACGACCUACGGGUGAAAGCGGGGGACCGCAAGGCCUCGCGCUAUUGGAGCGGCCGAUGUCAGAUUAAGUAGUUGGUGGGGUAAAGGCCUACCAAGCCGACGAUCUGUAGCUGGUCUGAGAGGACGACCAGCCACACUGGGACUGAGACACGGCCCAGACUCCUACGGGAGGCAGCAGUGGGGAAUUUUGGACAAUGGGCGCAAGCCUGAUCCAGCCAUGCCGCGUGCGGGAAGAAGGCCUUCGGGUUGUAAACCGCUUUUGUCAGGGAAGAAACGCGCUGGGCUAAUACCCCGGCGUAAUGACGGUACCUGAAGAAUAAGCACCGGCUAACUACGUGCCAGCAGCCGCGGUAAUACGUAGGGUGCAAGCGUUA
rnacentral:rRNA from 1 species